rnacentral:rRNA from 1 species
GACGAACGCUGGCGGCGUGCUUAAUACAUGCAAGUCGAGCGGAAGGGCGAGGAGCUUGCGGCUCGGACGUGAGGGGAGGGCGGGUGAGAAACACGUGGAUAACCUACCUAUAAGACGGGGAAAACUAGGAGACACCGGAGCUAACACGGGAGAAGAUCUUGAACCGCGUGGGGGGAAGGAGAGAGACGGUGUUGCGGGCUGUUAUAGAGGCAUCCGGGCUGCAUUAGCUAGUUGGUAAGGUAACAGGUUACUAAGGGAACGAUGCAUAGCCGCGCUGGGAGGGUGAUCGCCCACACUGGAGCUGAGACGCCGUCCAGGCUCCUGCGGGAGGGCGCAGUAGGGUAUCUUCCGCAAUGGGCGGGAGUCUGGCGGAGCGGCGCCGCGUGAGUGGUGGAGAUCUUCGGAUCGUAAAGCUCUGUUAUUAGUGAAGAACAUAUGUGUACGUAGCUGUGCACAUCUUGACGGUACCUAGUCAGAAAGCCCCGGCUAACUACGUG